UGAUGUUUAAAAAAAUCCUAAAUAAUUUCUCCCUCUUUUAAAUGACACUUGACUUUCAAGUAAAGAAUAUUUCUGCAUAUGAAAUGUCAGUUCUGUCUAAUAAUAACCUUGUUUAAUGUGUCCCCAAAAUCACUAAUAGAAAUUGCCACCAUUUUUAUCAAAUGAAGUUCUUUCCUCAAGCCGGGUGCCUGGCUCGUAGAAUCUGGGUGGAAAACAGUUAGAGACCGUUACAAACAAACGGAUUGCUUCAUAAUGAAAUUACACUCUAAAAUGUGAACUUACUAUCGCGCCUUUUGCCAACACACACCACCGGGGAUGUGACACGAGAAUGGCAAGGGAGGGAAUACGUUAUUAACAAAGACUGCCAAGAAAUAGACUCCUCUGGGUUUCACAGGGAGCCUUGAUAUGAAAUUACAAAGGAGUGGAAGGCAAAGAUAAGGAGUUGACAUGGAACUGUGUGCAUCAUUGUGGAGAGAUGGUUGGUUUUCAGCAGCCAGACUUACUUUUUAGCUAUCAGUCUCUAAGCCAGAUCCAGGGACCUUCUUCUCCAAUCCUAGAGGGGAAGGAUGAUUUCACGAGCGUCAUUCUACUCCCAUUGGUUGAUAUGUAACUGAAUCCAGGGCUAAUUUGAAGAUAGCAUUACUGUCAAAGUAUCUCGAAAUGCUUCGUGGCUGACAGCUCUCUACCUUUCAUCAUCUCUGGGUUGUCUAUCAAACACUGAGCAGACAGAGAUUGGUCAACAAUGGGACCUUCGGAUGACUCUGACCUUGUUGCUGCCAUGUUGUUCUCCAUCACUCCCUGCAUCAAAGCUUAGAAUUUCUUCCUGUGAACAGCAUCAAAAGUUAUUCUAAUAGGUUAGGCUUCCUUCCUUAUUUCGUUUGUUCAUGCCUGUAGAAGAUGACUUUUCACCUCAUGGCAUUGAUGUCAUUGUCAUGGCAGGAUCACAGUUGAUACACUUAACACACACAUACAUAGUGAACUGCAAUACUAAAAUAUUAAUUUGAUUCUUGCUUUCUCAUUUUAGAGUUCACCCCCAGUGAGCUCUCCAGUUAGCUGAGGGAAGGCACAGCAUGUCAGGCAAGUUAUGAUAGCCAUUAAACACCAAAUACAAUUUAACAGGGGUUUUCAUUUGCAAUGAUUCUUGGGCACUUGACUUGUUACAUCAGUUAAAUACACACCAUGAAGUGAGUAGUGACUUUGAUGUCAACAAAGAAUUCUAUUUCCAGAACCAUAAUGCCUUGUUGACUACCUUUCAGUAGAUUCCAUGGUGACUCCAGAGAAGAGGGAAAAUUUAUUGAGAUCGUUAAUAUUUCUAUAAAACCAGCAAUCUGACAAAUUCUCUUUUGGCAGGUACUUUUGCAGAACGAGCAUAAGUGACUGUUCCACAUGAAGCAUUAUCUUUUCUUGUACAACACAAAGCUUACAGGCUGCUUGACAAAUUUGAAUUUUAAAAAGUAAGAGUGAUUGGCACCUGGUAACUUACACAGAAAUAUAAAGUGGCACAAGAAAAUUGCCCAUUUCUUUUAGAUUUACAUUUUAUGUAUUUUGUUCUUUUCUGAAGUGAUGAGACAUGUAAUU
rnacentral:lncRNA from 1 species